UUAAUGUUAAAAAUCUGUAUUAUUUGAUACGUCUAAGCACUUGCAUAUUGCAAUACUACGCUCUUUCUAAUCCUUGCAAACACGUUGUGCAGCGUGCUCUGUCGUACAGCGUGCUCUGACAAACGGAAAUCUGGAAAUC